rfam:Schistosoma rodhaini strain Burundi genome assembly, scaffold: SROB_scaffold0006630
AUCCAUCUGAUGAGUCCCAAAUAGGACGAAACGCGCGUCCUGGAU